CAGUACAGUGCUGUAGUGAGUACAAUAAAACAAAAUAAUGGAAUGAAAUCGAAACUACAUAUUUUAUAAAUAAUAUGUUACACGUAUUUCUAACUUUUUCUUUUACAGUAUAAUGGAAGAUCAUGUUUAGGGCUUCUGUGGAAUCUAAAAGACUGAAAGUCCUGCUCGUAAACAGCAUGGACUGUCCGCCAGUGAAGCUUGCUGUGACACAUGCUGUAAUAAGAGUCUGUGCAGACAGUACUGUGUGAGUUUAACAGAUGAAGAAGAUUUUCUCAAACGUUGAAGCGCGCUGUGGCUGCCGCGGUGCAUUGUGGGAGCCGCCGCUUGGCGCAUUUCCGCUGCCAUUGUGCGCGAGAGACGUUUUCGGCGAGGAUCAAACAGGCGCCAUGAUGUUCACAGAUGAGGGGCGGGGCUUACGCCGACCGUCUGGUCUGUUUCCUGUCCUCUGAUUGGUCGGCUCAUGAAUAUUAUUAUUAUAAGGAGGCUGGCUUUUGUGGCAUGAUUGACAUGUUGAGCUUGCUGUUGUUUUGCUCAACUCUACUUUUAUGACUGUGUCUGUGACAGGAUUAUAUUAUUAGUAGGGCUGUCAAAUGAUUAAUCACGAUUAAUCACAUCCAAAAUAAAAGUUUUGUUUACAUAAUAUAUGUGUGUAUACUGUGUAUAUUUAUUAUGUAUAUAUAAAUACACACACAUGCAUGUAUAUAUUUAAGAAGAAUAUGUUAUGUUUAUAUAUUAAAUAUAUUUAUAUAUAAUAUAAAAUAUAAGAAUAUAUUUAAGAAGAAUAUGUUAUGUUUAUAUAUUAAAUAUAUUUAUAUAUAAUAUAAAAUAUAAGAAUAUAAAUAUAUAAAUGUAUAUACAUGUAAAUAUUUUCUAAAUAUAUAAUUUAUGUGUGUGUAUUUAUAUAUACAUAAUAAAUACAUUAUAUACACAUACAUAUAUUAUGUAAACAAAACUUUUAUUUUGGAUGUGAUUAAUCGUGAUUAAUCAUUUGACAGCCCUAAUUAUUAGAUAUAUUUUGAAGCAGGGGUUUUCAAACUGGUGCAUGGAAAAUUGAGGAAAAAGUGUAGAAAAUUAAAUAAAGAACAAAAAUAUAGAUUAAACUAAUUAACACUUAGGUGAUCAACAAUAAAAAAUUUAAAAUAAUUGUAAUAAGACAACUAAAUUUAAAAAAAUUAUUAAUAAUAAAAAAUUACUUGGUAUGUGAUUAAUCGUGAUUAAUCAUUUGACAGCCCUAAUUAUUAGAUAUAUUUUGAAGCAGGGGUUUUCAAACUGGUGCAUGGAAAAUUGAGGAAAAAGUGUGAAAAUUAAAUAAAGAACAAAAAUAUGAUUAAACUAAUUAACACUUAGGUGAUCAACAUAAAAAAUUUAAAAUAAUUGUAAUAAGCAACUAAUUUAAAAAAAUUAUUAAUAUAAAAAAAUUACUUAAAUGAUGAUAUUAAAAUAUUUUAAAUAUAGUGAAAUAUUUAAUCACAUUUAUUUGUUUAUUUGCUUGAAUCAUGUAUUAUUUAUUUUAAGUUUAAAUUUUAAUUAUUCAUUAAUUUAUAUAAUUUACUUAUUUUAAAUGGAAUGUAAUUUAUUUACGAAGUUUAAUUAAUCGUGUUAUUUUUGUUUUAGUUACUUAAAGCUACUUUAGUUACUUACUAAUUGGUGAUGUACGUGGUGUCUCUGUUUUUUUGGCAGCAGACUAUUAGGGUACUUCCUGUUUGCAUGUACCAGCCUGUGACUGAUCGGUCUCUCACACACACACACACACGCUCGCUGUCUGUCCAUCGAUCACGAGUGAAGGUUAAAUAAGGCGGUCGGGGCUGAUGUCUGCAUUCAGGGCGUUACGUCUCUCAUGCAGGGUGCUAAAACAGCCCUGACCCGUCCCAGAAUUCCCUGCACCGUCCAUCACAUGCUUGUGUGUGUGUGUGUGUGUGUGAGGUUCUCAGUCAGCACGGGGUUUGUAUACGAGCAUCUCUCCAACAAAUGUUUAUUAUUGCAAUAUUAAGAAUCACUUUUAAUAAUUAUUGAUGUCUGUUUCUUUUUUUAAUGCAUUGAUGUAAGCUUGUUUCAUAGAUCUAGAGCAUAUUUUUGAAGGUGGAGAUUCUUAUAAAGACAGUUUUACAUCAUAAAUCAUGUUUAUUUUCUAGAGGAUGAAUUUGGGUUCAGUCUCAACGAGUGAAGGGAUGUUCAGUGUAAUCCUGAUUGGCUUCAGCGCUGAGAAUAAAGCGUCUGUCCGCACAUGACCUGUUGAGUUUGGGUCCUUACUGACUUAUUGAUUUGAUCUGAAUAAAUAGAUAUUGGCUUGAUACUGUUUUUGAGUUUUGUUCUUCAGUAAAGAGCAGUGUUCUACUCUCACCCCUUCAGCGUCUCACGACUCCUCAGGCAGACAUGGAAACAUUAUUAUUAUUAUUAUUAUUGAGUCCUGCUUGAUUUGUGGGUGUUUUUGUUCCUCUUUUUUAAUUCAGCGUUUGACUACAGAACAUUCAGGUGUUUCAAUAAACUGAUCUUUGUAAUUUGAAAUUUCUCUUAAUUGCGUAAUAAAUGGAUGUCACACAUCUUUGUGGGUUGUCUUUUAUUGUCAAGUUAAAUCAGAUUCAGCACUUGUUAUAGGAACUUAUAUUGCCUUUUUUUUUUAAUUGUAAAGCACUUAAUUUCUUGUAUAAAAUUAACAUUUAGGGCUUUUCAGAAAUACCCAAUGUUUGCAGGUUUGAACAUAAACACUGGCUUUAAAAAUGACUGACAUUAAAAAUGUAACACCGUUAUGAAAAUAUGAUAUUUUGUAAUGAUCAUUUAAAUCUAGUAUUCAAAUAGUUUGUCAUAAAUCAACAUCUCAGGAAAAUGUAAUGGGUUUCAAAUCAAAAUUUGACUUUCUGUUAUGAAACAGGACAUUGAUUAAAUUCAAUUUUACUAAAGUAAAUACAUUAGGUGAAAGAGGUUGAGAUGGCAGUUGAAGACAUUCUGAAGAUGUGAAGCUGCAGAACGACGGAAAUGCAUUACAGUUUUUUACAGAUGCUAGGACACAUUUCUCAAUACUUAGUUCACUUUUGCUAAACUCUUCACACAGUGAGCACAACAGAAGUCUAUGUGGGCUAAACUGAGGAUCAAUGAUCAUUGUUUUGGCACAAAAUGCAUUCAAUGACUACAUCUCUCAAAUUUCAUGAAUUCUUUUCUCACUCAGACACAACAACUGCCAAAACUCUUUGUACGUACAGGCCAAUUUGCACAUGCUUACAUACUGUUUUCAAAACUGUUAAACUGAUGUUCAAAACAAUAACAUAAUACAAAACUGAAUAAGACAGCAAUUUGCUACAUUUCUACAGUAAUAUUUUAAUGAAAUAUAUUUUAAAUCUUAAAAUUAAAUGCUAUAAAAACAAUUGGACAAUUGGACCAGCCACAGCUGAUUCUCAUUGUAGAUGAACAUCUACACAGGUGUUACUCUUUCAAUUACAUUUACAUUACUAAACAUUGG
rnacentral:lncRNA from 1 species